GAUGAACGCUGGCGGCGUGCCUAACACAUGCAAGUCGAGCGAAGCGGGGACGGGUGAGUAACACGUGGAUAACCUCCUAUAAGACUGGGAUAACUUCGGGAAACCGGAGCCAAUCCGGAUACUUAUUGAUGGAUCCGUGGGGCAUUAGCUAGUUGGUAAGGUAACGGCUUACCAAGGCGACGAUGCAUAGCCGACCUGAGAGGGUGAUCGGCCACACUGGAACUGAGACACGGUCCAGACUCCUACGGGAGGCAGCAGUAGGGAAUCUUCCGCAAGGGGCGAAAGCCUGACGGAGCAACGCCGCGUGAGUGAAGAAGGUCUUCGGAUCGUAAAACUCUGUUAUUAGGGAAGCGGUAACUAAUCAGAAAGCCACGGGUAACUACGUGCCAGCAGCCGCGGUAAUAC
rnacentral:rRNA from 1 species